rnacentral:rRNA from 1 species
GACGAACGCUGGCGGCGUGCUUAACACAUGCAAGUCGAACGGAAAGGCCCUGCUUGCAGGGUACUCGAGUGGCGAACGGGUGAGUAACACGUGGGUGCUCUGCCCUGCACUUCGGGAUAAGCCUGGGCAACUGGGUCUAAUACCGGAUAGGAGCCAUUAUUAGUGUGAUGGAUGGAAAGUUUUUUCGGUGUAGGAUGAGCUCGCGGCCUAUCAGCGUGUUGGUGGGGUAAUGGCCUACCAAGGCGGCGACGGGUAGCCGGCCUGAGAGGGUGGACGGCCACAUUGAGACUGAGAGACGGCCCAGACUCCGACGGGAGGCAGCAGUGGGGAAUAUUGCACAAUGGGCGCAGGCCUGAUGCAGCGACGCCGCGUGGGGUAUGACGGCCUUCGUGUUGUAAACUCCUUUCGCUAGGGACGAAGCUUUUUGUGACGGUACCUAGAGAAGAAGCACCGGCUAACUACGUG